AUGACUACAGUGUUAUUUAGUGGUUAUGGUGCUUGGAGUGUUCCUUUCACUCCUUCAUGAGAGAUGACUCAUAAAAAUUACACACAAAGUGAAUUUUCACGUUAAUCCUUACAACUUUAUGAGACAAUGGUGGGCUUAAAGAGCUGGUCUAACCCAUAGUUCAUUGUUUUGCAAGCAGAUAGGGUAGAGAUAAAAAUGGUUUGACAAAAA